rnacentral:rRNA from 1 species
UACGGAGGGUGCGAGCGUUGUCCGGAAUCACUGGGCGUAAAGGGCGCGUAGGUGGCCUGUGGAAGUCUGCGGUGAAAGCCCGGCGCUCAACGCCGGGUCGGCCGUGGAUACUCUCGGGCUUGAGCUUACUAGAGGCAGAUGGAAUUCCGGGUGUAGCGGUGGAAUGCGUAGAGAUCCGGAAGAACACCGGUGGCGAAGGCGGUUCUCUGGGCCUUACCUGACGCUGAGGAGCGAAAGCGUGGGGAGCAAACGGG